rnacentral:rRNA from 1 species
UACGAAGGGGGCUAGCGUUGCUCGGAAUCACUGGGCGUAAAGCGCACGUAGGCGGCUUUUUAAGUCAGGGGUGAAAUCCUGGAGCUCAACUCCAGAACUGCCUUUGAUACUGAGAAGCUUGAGUCCGGGAGAGGUGAGUGGAACUGCGAGUGUAGAGGUGAAAUUCGUAGAUAUUCGCAAGAACACCAGUGGCGAAGGCGGCUCACUGGCCCGUAACUGACGCUGAGGCACGAAAGCGUGGGGAGCAAACAGG